rnacentral:rRNA from 1 species
CGGGUAGAGUAACACGUGGGAAUCUGCCUCUUUGUGGGGAACAACUCCGAGAAAUCGGAGCUAAUACCGCAUAAGCUCUUUUGUAAAAGGAAGAGGAAAGCCCUUCGGGCGCAGAGAGAGGAGCCUGCGGCUGAUUAGCUAGUUGGUGGGGUAAAAGCCUACCAAGGCUGUGAUCAGUAGCUGGUCUGAGAGGACAAACAGCCACACUGGGACUGCGAUACGGCCCAG